GAUGAACGCUGGCGGCGUGCCUAAUACAUGCAAGUCGAGCGACCAGACGAGGAGCUUGCUCCUCUGACGUUAGCGGCGGACGGGUGAGUAACACGUGGAUAACCUACCUAUAAGACUGGGAUAACUUCGGGAAACCGGAGCUAAUACCGGAUAAUAUAUUGAACCGCAUGGUUCAAUAGUGAAAGACGGUUUUGCUGUCCCUUAUAGAUGGAUCCGCACCGCAUUAGCUAGUUGGUAAGGUAACGGCUUACCAAGGCAACGAUGCGUAGCCGACCUGAGAGGGUGAUCGGCCACACUGGAACUGGGACAACGUCCAGACUCCUACGGGAGGCAGCAGUAGGGAAUCUUCAGAAAUGGGCGCAAGCCUGAAGGAGGAACGCCGCGUGCGUGAGGAAGGUCUCCGGAUCGUAACACUCUGUUAUUAGGGAAGAACCAAUGUGUAAGUAAAUAUGCACGUCUUGACGGUACCUAAUCAGAAAGCCACGGCUAACUACGUG
rnacentral:rRNA from 1 species